rnacentral:rRNA from 1 species
AUUGAACGCUGGCGGCAGGCUUAACACAUGCAAGUCGAGCGAGCGGAGGAGGGGUGAGUAAUGUCUGGGACACUGCCUGAUGGAGGGGGAUAACUACUGGAAACGGUAGCUAAUACCGCAUACCAUUAGAUGUGACCAGAUGGGAUUAGCUAGUAGGUGGGGUAAUGGCUCACCUAGGCGGCGAUCCCUAGCUGGUCUGAGAGGAUGACCAGCCGCACUGGAGCUGAGACACGGUCCAGACUCCUACGGGAGGCAGCAGUGGAGAAUAUUGCACAAUGGGCUCAAGCCUGAUGCAGCCAGGCCGCGUGUGUGAAGAAGGCCUUCGGGUGGUAAAGCUCUUUCAGCGAGGAGGCGUUACUCGCAGAAGAAGCAACGGCUAACUCCGUGCCAGCCGCCGCGGUAAUAC